rnacentral:rRNA from 1 species
UGGGGAAUAUUGCACAAUUGGCGCAAGCCUGAUGCAGCCAUGCCGCGUGUAUGAAGAAGGCCUUCGGGUUGUAAAGUACUUUCAGCGGGGAGGAAGGGAGUAAAGUUAAUACCUUUGCUCAUUGACGUUACCCGCAGAAGAAGCACCGGCUAACUCCGUGCCAGCAGCCGCGGUAAUACGGAGGGUGCAAGCGUUAAUCGGAAUUACUGGGCGUAAAGCGCACGCAGGCGGUUGAUUGAGUCAGAUGUGAAAUCCCCGGGCUUAACCCGGGAAUUGCAUCUGAUACUGGUCAGCUAGAGUCUUGUAGAGGGGGGUAGAAUUCCAUGUGUGGCGGUGAAAUGCGUAGAGAUGUGGAGGAAGACCGGUGGCGAAGGCGGCCCCCUGGACAAAGACUGACGCUCAGGUGCGAAAGCGUGGGGAGCAAACAGG